AGCAGCUUGGCGCAGUGGAAGCGCGGUAUGUUCAACAAACUCCAUCCAAAACUACAAAGCUAACUCGUCCCAGCCGGGCUCAUAACCCGGAGGUCACUGGAUCGAAACCAGUAGCUGCUA